rnacentral:rRNA from 1 species
AAGCCUGAUGCAGCGACGCCGCGUGGGGGAUGACGGUCUUCGGAUUGUAAACCCCUUUCAGUAGGGACGAAGCGCAAGUGACGGUACCUGCAGAAGAAGCACCGGCUAACUACGUGCCAGCAGCCGCGGUAAUACGUAGGGUGCGAGCGUUGUCCGGAAUUACUGGGCGUAAAGAGCUCGUAGGCGGUUUGUCACGUCGUCUGUGAAAUCCCUCGGCUUAACCGGGGGCGUGCAGGCGAUACGGGCAGACUUGAGUACUACAGGGGAGACUGGAAUUCCUGGUGUAGCGGUGAAAUGCGCAGAUAUCAGGAGGAACACCGGUGGCGAAGGCGGGUCUCUGGGUAGUAACUGACGCUGAGGAGCGAAAGCAUGGGUAGCGAACAGGAUUAGAUACCCUGGUAGUCCAUGCCGUAAACGGUGGGCGCUAGGUGUGGGGUCCUUCCACGGACUCCGUGCCGUAGCUAACGCAUUAAGCGCCCCGCCUGGG